UUACGGCCAUAUCACGUUGAAAGACCGAUUCUCGUACAAUCACCGAAGUUAAGCAACUUCGAAACUGGUCAGUACCUAGGUGGCUGACCGCUUGGGAAUACCAUAUGCUGUAA